UUCACCUCAUCGAGGUUCAGCUGCAGCCACUUCAUUCUGCAGCUGAGUCCCUGACAAUGAGCCUGGCCGCUUUGCUGCUGGUGCUGGCUCCAGGUUCGUUGGCCCAAUACACUGUGACCCAGGAGCCGUCCCAGGCCGCUGCCAAUGAAGGAGAACCCAUCCAGCUCAACUGCUCCUACAUGGGCACCGAGUACAGCGUUCAUUGGUACCGCCAGCCCCAGGGGGACCAGCCGCGGUUCCUGGCGCUCCUGUCCUCUAGUGGCAGAGAUGCCCGAGAGAAUUUCACCAUGAGCCUGGACACCAAAACCAAAAGCAGCUUCUUGUCCCUGAACAGCAGCCGCCUGGAAGACUCUGCUGUGUAUCUGUGCGCGCUGGAGCACAGUGCCAGGUGAGCACAGGCAGCCUGUCACAAAACCCUGGGAGGGGGCAGGGCACACGGACCCAAGAGAGGAGACAAGCAGAAGUUAGAACAGACCAGAGGAUAUGAGCCCAGAAGAGAAGAAAGGAAAGUAGAACAGAGUCAGCGAGAGGCAAUAAGAAUAGAACGGAACAGAAGAGAACACACUGGA